rnacentral:lncRNA from 1 species
GAUUGGGCCGAUCUCUCGUCCCACCUCACUCUGAGGUAACUCGCUCUCUGAUUGGGCCGACUUCCCGUCCCACCUCUCUCUGAGGCAACUCGCUCUCUGACUGGUCCGAGCUCCCGUCCUUCCUACCCUGCCCUGUGGCAACUCGCUCUCUGAUUGGUCCGAGCUUCCGUCCGUCCUAUCCUUCCCUGUGGCCUCUCUCUCUCUGAUUCGUCCGAACUCCCGUCCGUCCUCUCCUGCCCUGUGGCAACUCGAUCUCUGAUUGGGCCGAGCUUCCGUCCGUCCUAUCCUUCCCUGUGGCAACUCGCUCUCUGAUUGGUCCGAACUCCCGUCCGUCCUCUCCUGCCCUGUGGGAACUCGCUCUCUGAUUGGGCCGAUCUCUCGUCCCACCUCACUCUGAGGUAACUCGCUCUCUGAUUGGCCCGAGCUUCCGUCCGUCCUAUCCUUCCCUGUGGCCUCUCUCUCUCUGAUUCGUCCGAACUCCCGUCCGUCCUCUCCUGCCCUGUGGCAACUCGCUCUCUGAUUGGGCCGAGCUUCCGUCCGUCCUAUCCUUCCCUGUGGCAACUCGCUCUCUGAUUGGUCCGAACUCCCGUCCGUCCUCUCCUGCCCUGUGGGAACUCGCUCUCUGAUUGGGCCGAUCUCUCGUCCCAGCUCUCUCUGAGGCAACUCGUUCUCUGAUUGGCCCGAGCUCCUGUCCGUCUUCUCCUGCCCUGUGGCAACUCGCUCUCUGAUUGGGCCGAUCUCUCGUCCCACCUCUCUCUGAGGUAACUCGCUCUCUGAUUGGCCCGAGCUUCCGUCCGUCCUAUCCUUCCCUGUGGCCUCUCUCUCUCUGAUUCGUCCGAACUCCCGUCCGUCCUCUCCUGCCCUGUGGGAACUCGCUCUCUGAUUGGGCCGAGGUCCCGUCCCAGCUCUCUCUGAGGUAACUCGCGCUCUGAUUGGUCCGAGCUCCCGUCCGUCCUAUCCUGCUGUGUGGCAACUCGCUCUCUGAUUGGACCGAUCUCCUGUCCCACCUCUCUCUGAGGCAACUCGCUCUCUGAUU